rnacentral:rRNA from 1 species
CAGCAGUGGGGAAUAUUGCACAAUGGGCGCAAGCCUGAUGCAGCCAUGCCGCGUGUAUGAAGAAGGCCUUCGGGUUGUAAAGUACUUUCAGCAGUGAGGAAGGUGGAUAUGUUAAUAGCAUAUUCAUUUGACGUUAGCUGCAGAAGAAGCACCGGCUAACUCCGUGCCAGCAGCCGCGGUAAUACGGAGGGUGCGAGCGUUAAUCGGAAUUACUGGGCGUAAAGCGCAUGCAGGUGGUUUGUUAAGUCAGAUGUGAAAGCCCGGGGCUCAACCUCGGAAUUGCAUUUGAAACUGGACAAACUAGAGUACUGUAGAGGGGGUAGAAUUUCAGGUGUAGCGGUGAAAUGCGUAGAGAUCUGAAGGAAUACCGGUGGCGAAGGCGGCCCCCUGGACAGAUACUGACACUCAGAUGCGAAAGCGUGGGGAGCAAACAGGAUUAGAUACCCUGGUAG